UACGAAGGGGGCUAGCGUUGCUCGGAUUGACUGGGCGUAAAGAGCUCGUAGGCGGUUUGUCGCGUCGAAUGUGAAAACCCGGGGCUCAACCCCGGGCCUGCAUUCGAUACGGGCAGACUAGAGUUCGGUAGGGGAGUCUGGAAUUCCUGGUGUAGCGGUGAAAUGCGCAGAUAUCAGGAGGAACACCGGUGGCGAAGGCGGGACUCUGGGCCGAUACUGACGCUGAGGAGCGAAAGCGUGGGGAGCAAACAGG
rnacentral:rRNA from 1 species